rnacentral:rRNA from 1 species
AUUCCCUACGGGGGGCAGCAGUGGGGAAUAUUGCGCAAUGGGGGCAACCCUGACGCAGCAACGCCGCGUGCAGGAAGAAGGUCUUCGGAUUGUAAACUGUUGUCGCAGGGGAAGAAGACAGUGACGGUACCCUGUGAGAAAGUCACGGCUAACUACGUGCCAGCAGCCGCGGUAAUACGUAUGGGGCAAGCGUUAUCCGGAUUUACUGGGUGUAAAGGGAGCGCAGGCGGCUUGGCAAGUCUGAUGUGAAAGGCUGGGGCUCAACCCCAGGA